rnacentral:rRNA from 1 species
UAAACUAGGAUUAGAUACCCUAUUAUUUUAAAUGUAAAUUUUUAAUACUAAAUUAGUAGUAGUUAUGUUCUUGAAAAUUAAAAAAUUUGGCGGUAUUUUAGUCUGUUCAGAGGAACCUGUCCUGUAAUUGAUAGUCCACGAUAUAGGAUACUUUAUUUAUUAGUUUACAUAUCGUCGUAGAUAGAAUAUUUUUAUAGAAGAGGAAUAUUCUAAAUUUUAUAUUAAAAAGUAAAUCAGAUCAAGGUGUAGUUUAUAAUAAAGGAGAGAUGGGUUACAUUAAAUUUAUUUAAGGAUAAUUUUUAGGAUAAAAAUUUGAAUAUGGAUUUGAAAGUAAUUUUAUUAAGUUAAUUAAGAUGAUUUAAGCUCUAAAAUAUGCACACAUCGCCCGUCGCUCUUAA